rnacentral:sRNA from 1 species
CGAAGGUGCUCCUUGGUACGGGAUAGAUCAGGCCCUCGACAAGCCCGAUCCUCCCUGUUCAGGAGCACUUUCCUCUUUGCGGCAACCCAACAGACGAUCAUCCCGGUGAAAG